UACAGAGGGUGCGAGCGUUAAUCGGAAUUACUGGGCGUAAAGCGCGCGUAGGCGGCUUUGCAAGUCGGGUGUGAAAUCCCCAGGCUUAACCUGGGAACUGCAUUCGAGACUGCAUUGCUAGAGUAUGGGAGAGGGAAGUGGAAUUUCCGGUGUAGCGGUGAAAUGCGUAGAUAUUGGGAAGAACACCGGUGGCGAAGGCGGCAACCUGGUCCUUGACUGACGCUGAGGCGCGAAAGCGUGGGGAGCAAACAGG
rnacentral:rRNA from 1 species